rnacentral:rRNA from 1 species
GCUGAGGCAGCCCUGCAGCGUGAAUGUGAAGGCCUUCGGAUUGUAAAGCUCUUUUGGCGGGGAAGAAGGGAGCCAGUUUAUACCUUUGCUCCUUGACGGUACCCGCAAAAAAAGGCCGGCUAACUCCGUGCCAGCAGCCGCGAUAAUA